rnacentral:rRNA from 1 species
CCCAGACUCCUACGGGAGGCAGCAGUGGGGGAUAUUGCACAAUGGGGGGAACCCUGAUGCAGCGACGCCGCGUGGGUGAAGGAGCGUUUCGGCGCGUAAAGCCCUCUCGGCAGGGAAGAAGGAGGACGGUACCUGACUAAGAAGCCCCGGCUAACUACGUGCCAGCAGCCGCGGUAAUACGUAGGGGGCAAGCGUUAUCCGGAUUUACUGGGUGUAAAGGGGGCGCAGACGGCGAUGCAAGCCAGGAGUGAAAGCCCGGGGCCCAACCCCGGGACUGCUCUUGGAACUGCGUGGCUGGAGUGCAGGAGGGGCAGGCGGAAUUCCUGGUGUAGCGGUGAAAUGCGUAGAUAUUAGGAGGAACACCAGUGGCGAAGGCGGUCUGCUGGACAGCAACUGACGCUGAGGCGCGAAAGCGUGGGGAGCAAACAGGAUUAGAUACCCGCGUAC